rnacentral:lncRNA from 1 species
AUUUUUUUCAUUACUAUGAUAUGAUAUAGUUAUUCUUCCUGUAUGUGGUUAUAAUAGGUACAUUAAAGAUUACUUUUUUUUUAUUGAACAGGUAGAAAGUUACUGUUUCCUUUCCUAAUAGUAAAAGACUUCAGACCACACAGAUUCAACUCUACAGAACUAACUUGGAUCAUACAAGGCAUAAACAGAUGAAUCUGUAUGGAAAUCCUAAUAUUUGAGCUAUUCUCUUCUGUUUAGAUACUGUUUUGGACCUGACCAGAGCAUACUUUGUGGCGUCUUACCAAAUUGUAGACUUUUCAUCUUCUUCUGUCAAAUAUGUGCACACAAACACAUAUUUUUGCCACAAUCCUUUUUGAAGAAAGACCCCGAUGGGAGGAAACUGUGCACCUCCCCCUUGCUGCCUUAAGACAUAGAGUCAAGCAGGCAAACCAGAAGGUGAGGACUGAAACAGGGUUGAGAGUCGAGAUGUAUAUAGUCAAAGGACAUGUAUGAUAAUAGUGAUGCUGAUAAGACUGUUUAAAAAUGCUUCACCC